rnacentral:rRNA from 1 species
UUGGAGGGCAAGUCUGGUGCCAGCAGCCGCGGUAAUUCCAGCUCCAAUAGCGUAUAUUAAAGUUGCUGCAGUUAAAAAGCUCGUAGUUGAAUUUCGGGGUUAGUAGGUUGGUCGUGCCUAUGGUAUGCACUGGCUUUACUGAUUCCUCCUUCUUGAAGAACUGUAAUGUCAUUAAUUUGGUGUUGCAGGGAAACAGGACUUGUUACUUUGAAAAAAUUAGAGUGUUUAAAGCAGGCUAACGCUUGAAUACAUUAGCAUGGAAUAAUGAAAUAGGACGUUUGAUCCUAUUUUGUUGGUUUCUAGGAUUGACGUAAUGAUUAAUAGGGAUAGUUGGGGGCAUUAGUAUUCAAUUGUCAGAGGUGAAAUUCUUGGAUUUAUUGAAGACUAACUACUGCGAAAGCAUUUGCCAAGGAUGUUUUCAUUAAUCAAGAACGAAAGUUAGGGGAUCGAAGACGAUCAGAUACCGUCGUAGUCUUAACCAUAAACUAUGCCGACUAGGGAUCGGAUGAUGUUAAUUUUUUAAUGACUCAUUCGGCGCCUUACGGGAAAC